CCAAUAGCGUAUAUUAAAGUUGUUGCAGUUAAAAAGCUCGUAGUUGAAUUUCGGGGUUAGUAGGUUGGUCAUGCCUCUGGUAUGUACUGGUCUCACUGAUUCCUCCUUCCUGAUGAACCUUAAUGCCAUUAAUUUGGUGUUUUGGGGAAUUUGGACUGUUACUUUGAAAAAAUUAGAGUGUUUAAAGCAAGCUAACGCUUGAAUACAUUAGCAUGGAAUAAUGAAAUAGGACGUUCGAUCCUAUUUUGUUGGUUUCUAGGAUUGACGUAAUGAUUAAUAGGGAUAGUUGGGGGCAUUAGUAUUCAAUUGUCAGAGGUGAAAUUCUUGGAUUUAUUGAAGACUAACUACUGCGAAAGCAUUUGCCAAGGAUGUUUUCAUUAAUCAAGAACGAAAGUUAGGGGAUCGAAGACGAUCAGAUACCGUCGUAGUCUUAACCAUAAACUAUGCCGACUAGGGACCGGAUGAUGUUAAUUUUUUAAUGACUCAUUCGGCGCCUUACG
rnacentral:rRNA from 1 species